rnacentral:lncRNA from 1 species
GUUCCUGCUCCGGCUCCUGCGGGGAUGGAUGCUUCACGCAGUAAGCGACCUAAGUCGCGGAAGCGUAGACACCCGGCUUUUCCCGCGUGCUCUAUCGGGCUCCCCUGGACACGGAGGGUGGAGCAGAAAGAGCAGAGGGGCCGGUGGGAGCCAUGGGGAGUCCGCCUAGCUCCAGAGAAGCUGACAAGUACCUGCCGGAAAAACUGCCUCUUUUCCCUCCCGUGCUUGGAGCAGGCAUUGCUGACAGAUCACAGCUGCUGGGCCCAAAGGUCCCUUUGCACGCGGGACUUCAGGAAGUUGCUGCUGACCUAUGGGAGUUGGUGCAGAAAGAUGAAAUUUGUUAUCCUUGGCUGUAUCAACUCUCUCUCCUCUCCUUGGUGGUGAUAGUUUUGUUCUUAAAAGCCUCUUGUGAGAGAAUUUGUGGAUGAAGAACCUGUAAGAUCACAAGUGAAACAAUUUAUUGAUGUCAAUAGAUUUAUACACGUUCAUUAAGAAUCAAAACUAAACUAAAACAUCAGUCUGACUAAAGAGACCACCACAGAUAUUUCAUAUGCUGUACAUCAGUAACAAAGGGUACCAAAUAGUUAAUAUCCAUGUACUAGUCACAUGAGAAAUGUUUUAGGGUCAUUGACCAGUGUAGUCAGUACAGUGGUCCCAUGGUAUUUGUGGGGGAUUGGUUCCAGGAAUCUCUUGGACACCAACUCCGUGGAUGAUCAGACAAUAUAAAAUGUGGGUCAGGUGCGGUGGCUCAUACCUGUAAUCCCAGCAUUUUGCGAGAAUCACUUGAGGCCAGUUCAAGAUCAGCCUGUGCAACAUAGCAAGACUCCACCUCUAAAAAAAAAAAAAAAAAAAAAAAUUAGCCCAGUGCAGCGGUGUGCACCUGUAGUCCCAGCUUCUCAUGAGGUUGAGGUGAAAAGAUCACUUGGGCCCAGGAGUUUGAGGCUGCAGUGAGCUGUGACUGCCACUGCACUCCAGCCUGAGUGACAAAGCAAGUCCCUGUCUCUUAAAAAAUAAAAUAAAAUAAUAGCAUUUGAAUGUAACCUACACACAUCUCCCAUAUACUUUAAAUCAUCUGUAGAUUGCUUAUAAUACCUAAUACACUGUAAAUGCUAUGUAAAUAGUUGUUAUUCUGUGUAGUUUUUAAAAACGUGUAUUUCUUAUUGUAUUUUUUUGUUUGUUUUUUGUUGUUUUUGGAGACAAGGAGACAAGGUCUCACUCUAUCACCCAGGCUGGAGUGCAGUGGCACCAUCUCGGCUCACUGCAGCCUUGACAUCCUGGGCCCAAGCGAUCCUUCUACUUCAACCUCCCAAGUAGCUGGGAAUACAGGCGCUUGUCAUCAUGCCUGACUAAUUUUUGUAUUUUUGUAGAGAUAGGGUUUCACCAUGUUGCCCAGGCUGGUCUUGAACUCCUGGGCUCAAGUAAUCCUCCUGCCUCAGCCUCCCAAACUGCUGAAAUUACAGAUGUGAGCCACCACGCCCGGCCAUUAUUGUUGUAUUUUUAUUUUUUUUCAAACAUUUUUGACUUGCGGUUGGUUGAAUCUGUGCGUGUGGGAAGCAUAGAUACUGAGGACUGUAGUUUCACCAAAAUGCUUCCAGUCACUGUGCCUUCCACCAGCUCCCUCACACAUCUGGGUGCAUGACGUGUCGUGGGAAGAGUGUGGCCUCCAGGGCCCACCAACCUAAGCUUCAAUUCCAACUCCACUCCUGCGGACCAGUUACUUCCUUGAGGUCCAUUCUUCUCAUUUGCAAAAUGGGAGAACAACUUUUCCUCAGGUUGCUGGGAAGAUUAAACAAGAUCGUGAUUCAGAAUGCUUAGCAUGUAUGCUCAUGACACACUUAAAGAAUGCCGGCUACCCUUUCUGUUCCCCUUGCCACACUUACUCCCUCGCUACCUUCUCUGUGGGGGUCCUUCUUCCGAAAGUCAAUAUAUUUCUGAUUUAAGACUUGGCCUCUCUGAGCCCCACCAUGGUGACUCUUGAUUUGAAUGUAGAUAUCCCACAUCUCAAUGUAGAUGAAAAGGUGGAGCUGAAAAUUUAUACCAGAGUCAGAUCCAGGUUUUAGGGGUCCUGGAACCUAUACAAUUUGGGGCGCCUUCUUACA